UUACGACCAUAUCCAUUUGAAAUGCCGAUUCUCGUAGGAUCACCGAAGUUAAGCAAACGUCUAGCCUGGUCAGUAACUAGAUGGGUGACCGUUUGAGAAUACCAGGUGCUGUAAG
rnacentral:rRNA from 1 species